AUAAUACUCCAUAGAUUAGAGACACUGGAAUGUUCUUUAGUCGAAAGUUCUGGCGCCUUAGGAUGGAUCUGCGGUCGAUUAGGUUGUUGUUGGGGUAACGGCCCAACAAGCCUGUAAUCGAUACGGGUUGUGGGAGCAAGAGCCCGGAGAUGGAAUCUGAGACACGUUUCCAGGCCCUACGGGGCGCAGCAGGCGCGAAAACUUUACAAUGCAGGAAACUGUGAUAAGGGAACUCCGAGUGCCCGUAUACGCGGGCUGUCCAGGUGUUUAAAAAUCAUCUGAAGAAAGGGCCGGGCAAGACCGGUGCCAGCCGCCGCGGUAAUACCGGCGGCUCGAGUGGUGGCCACUAUUAUUGGGCUUAAAGCGUCCGUAGCUGGACCGAUAAGUCUCUUGGGAAAUCCGCCGGCUCAACCGGCGGGCGUCUAAGGGAUACUGUUAGUCUAGGGACCGGGAGAGGUGAGAGGUACUCCGGGGGUAGGAGUGAAAUCCUGUAAUCCCCGGGGGACCACCGAUGGCGAAGGCAUCUCACCAGAACGGCUCCGACAGUGAGGGACGAAAGCUGGGGGAGCGAACCGGAUUAGAUACCCGGGUAGUCCCAGCCGUAAACUAUGCGCGUUAGGUGU
rnacentral:rRNA from 1 species